rnacentral:tRNA from 1 species
GCCCAUGUAGUCUAGUCCGGAUAAGAUUGCCCUCUUACUAAGGGACAGACACGAGUUCAAAUCUCGUCGUGGGCA